CCUUCUGUAUGAUUGUCACUACCAGCGUAUAGUGAGACACUGGGAAAUCUAAGCCAGUAUUAGCACCAGUGUAGCUGGUUGAUAUUUGGGGGCUAGGUAGUCUUCAGCAUUUGAUGGCACCUAAGUGCAAGCCAUUUUGGCUAAAAUUGAUCAGGCUUGAUGGCCUGAUUGGACACAAUAGUCAUGGUCAGCCACCAAGGAAAAAUAUGCAGAAACUUGGGACUGUUGAAUUGAGGGAGUUCCUGUGUAGACUUGGUUGAGAACAACCCACCCCCACCCUCUUCUGAAUGCAGUGGUAGACAUUUUUAUAGAUAGUUAGAUGGGUACCUUAGAUUUUUCUUAUGUUAAUAUUUCUUGAUUUUUUUGUGUCUCAUUUGCUGAAAUAUCCAGCUUUAUUGCUAUUCUAGGAAUUAUGUAAAAAUGGUGGCAUUCUGUUUCUGGCCCGAGAUGUCUUGAACACAUCCCACAUUCCUUGGAGUCUUCUACUAUCAUGGCUGCUGUAUCUAGGCUGGAGUCUAAAAUCCUGUCAAUUGCAAGUCAUCUUUCCCUUAACAUUUAGUAGCUGCACAUCAAGCACAUGUAUGAACCACUUACAUUUUGUAUUUGGUGGAACCUCUAUGAAAAAACUCAACUGAAUUGGUCAACUCCAUUUCGCUUUCAUGCAGUUGUUGCAGCUCUGUGAGGCAGAAACCAUUUCCUAAAUGGAUGAGGUUGCUAGUUCCAAAUAGCAUGCAUUUGGCAAGAACUGUUGCAUUAGUGUAAGUUCUUGAGAGAUGCAGUUGACAGACUUCAAGUUGGAGAAAAUCUACCUUCAUCAUGUACCAUAUGGAUGUUCUACCAUGGGCAUACUGGUGUCAAAUGCCGAACAUGUGAAAGUUGUAAUCACUUUGUGGGUUUCACAUGGAAUAUCUCCUGCUGCAAAUUGGUACUGUUUAGUUGUAGUAACCAUCCAUUCCAUGUUGACCUUGUCCAUAUCGAUGUCUUAGAAUGAACACCUGUUGCCAUCCAAAGAGGUCAACUUUUAUAUGGGGAUCUUCUUGGCGAUACCAUCAAGUGUGAGUUCCACACUGCAUGUAUGCUGAGGGAACUGGUUCUGUAGGCUCUCUUUAUGAUCUGCCCAAUUGGUAACAUAGAUUCCUUUUUUUCCCCUUCGAUGAUUUCUUUAAUAUCUGCUCACUGCUAAGCUGUUUUCUGUUCAUUUAAUGUUAUGGUGUAGAUUCUUGACUGAUUGAAGACUGCAUUUGAUGGAGUGCCUAAACAGCUUAUAGCAUUGGUCACAGUUUUCCCAGAGGUGUUAUGCUUCUGAAUUCUAUGCAUCUAAUUGAUAUAUUUUCUGAUGAUUCAACUUUUUUAUCUUUUAUCAUGGUUAAUAAUGAAAGCUAACUCUAAUCUUAUCACUUGUGCUUUGUCUUUGUCUAUUAGUCUAUUUGUUACUAUAAAUUUCUGCUAGUAGGAGAAUUUCUUUACUUCUAAGAUUUCCGGAGGACCAAGAAUGCUGUAAGUUCUUGUGAGGAAUUAAGUAUUCAUGACAU